GGCGCUAUAGUGUAGUGGCAGCACAUGGGAUUCUGAUUGUCCAGCCUUCCCAUAACCCAGGUUCGACCCCUGGUAGUGCCU